rnacentral:snoRNA from 1 species
GCAACAUAGUGAUUCUUUAUCUGAAAAAAGAAACUUGUAAAAAUCAAAAUAAAACAGGAGCACAGGGCUCUGUCCCAUUAUGUAUAGUCCCGUUCCAUAAUGUUGGAGAAAAAGCCGGGCCUUGAGUCUGUGCAUGAAUAUUCCUACAACUUCUCAUAUUCCUCUGGACAAUUACUGGGGAGAUAAACCAUGCAGGAAACACUA